rnacentral:lncRNA from 1 species
UUCUAUCUCCCAAUAUCAUGUAGAGAAAUAAAACAAUAUUCAAAACUGCGGAAUUAGAGUAUUGUGGAUUUAAUAGCUGUUGUUGGAAAUACGUAAAUUAGGGUUAGAAUGUUCCCUUGGUUACUGGAAAGAGUUAAUACAUAAGAGCUAAUGUGUUUUUUCCCCUACGUGAAGCAUAUUCCUUCACUCCACAAAUGCUUUGUUGCAGGCCUGCUGUAGGCCAGAUGUGAAGAAGGUAAACUUCCUGCUCCCACCUUAUGGGAGGAGGAAAACCUUGCACAUACAAAUAUAUAUUUAAAUAUUAAAGCUGAGAAUUGCUAUGGAGAAAAUGAAGGAGGGUAAGGAGAAAAGGGUGUGAGGUGGGAAGGAGGAGCUUCCCCCCCGGGGGGGCGGGGGGCUCUGGGUCAGCCUCUGAUGAGAUGAUGUAUGCGAAGAGACACGAAAAAGGUGAGAGAGACCACAGGUUCCAGAACAGACCUGAGAGGUUAGCAAAUAUCAGCUUCUGGCUGUGCAUCUUGCCUUUUCCAGUGUGUCCUGCUGUCCCACCUAAGACUUUUGAGCUUGGCUCCUGGUGCUCUUCCCUGGUUCUCACCGAUCCCAGUUCAAAUACCAAAUGCUAUAGGGGGCCAUUCCUGACACUCUGUUUUAGGAGUACAUUUAAAUUCUCCCUGCUUUGCCCUUUUUCUUACCCCUACAGAGUUCUAUUAUAAUACCCAUAAAAUGUUAUUACUUUGUGUUUAAGUACGUUUCUCCUGAGGCUAGGAAGUGAGAUCCUUGAGAGUAGGCAUUAUGUCCUAUCCAUCUCUGUAUCCCCGGUAGUCAUCACAGCCCCUGACAUAUUGUAGGUGCUAUAGUUUUGUGUUGAAAAAAAUAGGGAAAUUUUUAAAAUGAGCUAUCAAGCCAUGAAAGGACUUUUCCUAAGGUUCUUGAGGUGGAACCUUAAAUACAUAUUACUUAGUGAAAGAAGCCAGUCUGAAUACAUAUGGUAUGAUUCCAACUAUAUGACAUUUUGGAAAAGACAAAGUUAUAGACAUAGUAAAGUGAUCCAUGGUUGCCAAGAGCUCAGGGAGAGGAAGGGGGAGAAUGGAUGAGUAGGUGAAGCACAGGCAAUUAUAGGGUAUUGAAACUAUCCUAUAUGGUGCUGUAAUGAUGAAAACAUGUCAUUAUCCAUCUGUUAAAACCCACUGAGCUGUGCAACACCAAAGGUGAAAACUACUGUAAACUAUGGGCUAUAAUUAAUAAUAAUGUAUUAAUAUUGGUUCAUCAUUUUAACAAAUCAGCCUUACUAAAGCAAGCUGUUAAUAAUAGAGGAAACUCUGUGUGUGUGUGUGUGUGUGUAUGUAAAGGUUAGGAGUUGCUAUGAGGCAUGUUAUAUAUCAUUUGCUCAGUUUGUCUCAAUCUAAAACCAUGCUUUAAAAAGUCUAAAUUAUUAGAAAAUGAAAUUGGGUGGUGAAAGCAAGGACUAAUGUAGGAUAGUAGAUUGACUACUUUUUAAGGACUGCUUUUUUAAAAAAGGAAUUCUUGAACAUGUGUCAAUAAUAAAGGUGUGAAAUACUUACUGUAAUUCAUAAGCAGCUACCACCUUUCCUGACCCCUUUCCUGUCCUGUGUAUAGUGGAAGGAGCCAGACUGACAAAAAGUGUCUGUGGGCUGCAUGGAGAACAUUAUAUUCAAGCAGACCUGUGUUUGAAUCCCAUCCAGCUGUGACAUCUUGCUGAGGCUCAGUGUCCCCGUCUGUAUGAAGAUCACACUACUGACCUCAGAGGGCUGUGGAGAGGAUUAGAAGAGACACAUUGUCUAAAAUGCUAGCACAGGGCUGGCAUAAAGAGUAUGGCUCAAACGUGAUAGUUCUCUUUCCCUUUCAAGAGAAUAUAAAAAUGAAAUAAAAGCCAGAAUAAGUAAUGGGAGGAAUUAGGUGGAAGACAAAAGAAUGAUCACAUGUUGGUAUAGCACUGAAUUCGGGCUGGUAUAGCACAUUAAAUCUGAGGACUAGAUCUAGUUUCCAUUAGUUUCUCUUAGGUUCCACUGAACAGGCACCUACAUUGCUUCUUUGACACACUAUCCUUUUUUUUUUUUUAAUAACUUCUAUAUAAUGACAGGUAAAGCGACUUUUCUCAUGUUGCGUUUUCUCAGGUAAUAGGUGAUGUCCAUGCGUCAGAAGUGAGAAGGUGGGAAGAUAGAGUUGUCAAGUUAAGAAAUAUGGGAAAAGCUUACAAGUGCCUUGAUAGGGAAUGUGGCAUUGAAAAGAACACAUCAUACCUUAUUUCUAGCUUGGACAGUUCUGCCAAACAUCUAGGUUUAAAAGCAGUUCAAAGCGUGGUACAAAGAAAAAAAUCCACUUAAAAUAUCUCAGCUUGACUCUCAUCACUUUGUACAAGGUUCGAAUGUGAUCUGGACACCAACACACCAAGCUGAGCUUUGUGUGAGGAACUAAAUGUUAGACUGAAAUGGGAAACUGAAGCAGGUCAGUCUCCUUUUGUUGAGCUUCUCCUUCUUGUCAAACCACUGGGCUGCACGUUGUCGUUUUUGUUUGUCACUGAUAGCCUAUCACAAAGCCCCUUCUGUUAGGAUGCCGUACCUGAAACUCCCACUAGCCAGCAGAGCAUAAACACCAAGGUGGAGCCACCUUCCCCAAACCUCUCACACACAAUAGCUACUGCUGUCACAGCAGGACAAUUGAGUGGAUCUUAUAGUGGUAUAUUUUUCCUCAUCAUAUGCAUGACAGAAAGUCUAAUGGACCUCGUUCAUUUCUUGAGUAGCUUUUAAGGCCCUAUAAAAUGGCCUGUUAUCAGCUCCAUCAGUGUUCCCAAGAUGUCUGCCUGGGUGUCGGGGAGCCCCGGCAGCAGCUGUAUUUUCAGCCCUCCAAUCAGCAAGGAGAAGGUAGUCAUUAGCUGAAAAAGUAGAGAGGAAAACUGUUUGCACCCCAGAAGGAAAAGCGAAAUACCAGUGGCAUUGUGUGAUAAAUAAAAUUGACGGCUGUUAAAAA